GAGGACAGCUGCGUUAAAAUCCGUGCAGGGUCUGUCGCUAGUCCAAAACGAAGAUUCCUAUAACACCGAAGAGGGAAUGGAAAUUUCCCGUCGGAUUACCACUGAAGCUUGCAGUCUGGUGGUUGCCAGGUUUGGUGACAGGGAAACCAGCACGCAACAAGGUUGGACUAUGCACAAGCUCUGUCAUGCAAAGCAGUCUGUGUGCGUUGCAGAGUCUCUUCAUACCGAGUUCCUGCACAGAGGGAGAGAGAGAGAGAGCGAGAGAGAGAGAGAGAGAGGGGGGCUGCUGGUCACCAGAUAUGGGCAGUGAUAUCUCCAGAUUCUCCCAUUGGCCAUCACGAUUUAGUUUACUUGCUGCUGCAGCUGGAACAAUGCCUCGUCCUUUUUGUCAGCCAAUGCUGCUGUCCUACAAACAGCUUCUGCUUCGGUGUCAUCCUCGAUUGCUUGUCUCCUUGUCAGGUCACUUCUCUCUGCAACAUGAACAGCAAGGACAGCUUGGGUUUUGUCAUCUGACAGGCCAUCCUUAACUAAUUGUUUUGCGGUACAUGUUUUGUUGGAUCAGGACAGCUCCAAUGUGCGGACUCCGAUCGAUCGCGACUCUUCGGUCCUUUCGAUUCGCAUCUCUCGUGCUUGUUUGGAGGUGCUGAUGGAAUCCUGUACUUGAAAGACACUGCUUCGCGGCCACGACUGUCAUGAACGCAGGAACCGAUUUCGAGAAGGAAUGUAGACAUCAAAGUGCAGCAGUGGGGGGUGGGCCUCUAUGGUCCCAAACCCAGGGAGUUCGAAUCAACACUUCACGUUCGCAACCUGCUUGCUUUUAUUCCUCUUCCGCCUUGACAGUCCUACAAAAGCGAGAAUCGCCCCCAAACUCCAAAGGUUAAGUACAAGAUUCAAAAGGAAAAGGAGAACACCCAGUAUAAGAAUUGGCAGAAACCAAGCUCCUCUCCAUUGCCUUGAUCCGGGGGAGUCACCAAGGAAGAGCAGGAGAUGAGGGCCUUGUUCGGUGGCCUGGCAUGCUUGUUCUGCAUCGGUCUCCUGGUUUCCAUGGCAAAACCUGGUGCAGCAACAAGAAUUAUUGCACCACCAGUGGCUGCUCCUACUGUGCCUUCACCAAUGGCUUGGCCAUUACACCACAUGAAGCUGGAUCCUUUCUAUAGUAGCAAGAGAAGAGUGCCUAAUGGACCUGAUCCGAUACACAACAGGAGAAGUGGGAAGUCAGGAAGACCUCCAGGAAGAGCAUGAGGACCAGAGGCAUGCAAGCUUUCUUCGCUUGGAAGAUGGAUUACAGGAUUUAUAUGGAUCUCAUCUUAAAUGCAUCUAACAAAUGUGUCAUCUUUAAACACUCCCAGAACACUAGCCAUGAUAUCCUUGCUUUUGCCAAAGUGCUGUUCUUUAUGGAGAUUUUGAAGGUGGUGGGGUGUUUAAAGAGUGCAAGCUUCACCAACACAAAAUACCCACUCAAGAUUCUUGACAAACAUGGGAAGACCUUUCGCUGUUGCUUUACUGACCUCCUUUAUUCUGAGAGUGAGAGGUAGAAAGAGAGAAUGAAAUGGAAGAAACAACAUGACCUGUAACAAAUGCAUUCAAUUGAAGCUAACAGUCUGGUUUUCUUGUUUCCUUGUCUCCUUGUAAGCAGCUCUAACAACUAAAGAGCCUUUGGAUUUGUUCUAAUGCCAACUCUACUUUUCUUU